rnacentral:rRNA from 1 species
UACGGGGGGAGCAAGCGUUGUUCGGAUUUACUGGGCGUAAAGGGCGCGUAGGCGGCCAGCACAAGUCAGUUGUGAAAUCUCCGAGCUUAACUCGGAAAGGUCAACUGAUACUGUGCGGCUAGAGUGCAGAAGGGGCAACUGGAAUUCUCGGUGUAGCGGUGAAAUGCGUAGAUAUCGAGAGGAACACCUGCGGCGAAGGCGGGUUGCUGGGCUGACACUGACGCUGAGGCGCGAAAGCUAGGGGAGCGAACGGG